rnacentral:rRNA from 1 species
CCCCUAGACGUUCUGGGCUGCACGCGCGCUACAAUAAUACGCACAGCGAGUAUCACCGAGCUCGAAAGGGCAAGGUAAACAAUAGAAAAGGUACUGUAAUGGUUAUAGAUCCUUGUAAUUAUUGAUCUUCAACGAGGAAUUCCUAGUAAGUAUGUGUCAUCAUCACGCACUGAUUACGUCCCUGCCCUUUGUACACACCGCCCGUCGCUCCUACCGAUUGAGUGAGCCGAUGAAACUGCCGAAUGUGGACUAUUCAUAGUCUGCAGAAGAUAUUUGAAUCGUAGCGCUUAGAGGAAGGAGAAGUCGUAACA